rnacentral:tRNA from 6 species
GCCCGGGUGCUGGAAUGGUAGACAGGCUAGCUUGAGGUGCUAGUGUCCGUAAGGGCGUGGAGGUUCGACUCCUCUCCCGGGCA